rnacentral:rRNA from 1 species
UACAGGGGGGGCAAGCGUUAUUCGGAAUUAUUGGGCGUAAAGGGCGCGUAGGCGGUGUCUUAAGUGAGAUGUGUAAUCCCCGAGCUUAACUUGGGAACUGCAUCUCAGACUGGGGCGCUAGAGUGCUGGAGAGGGUGGUAGAAUUCCACGUGUAGCGGUGAAAUGCGUAGAGAUGUGGAGGAAUACCAGUGGCGAAGGCGGCCACCUGGACAGUAACUGACGCUGAGGCGCGAAAGUGUGGGGAGCAAACAGG